rnacentral:rRNA from 1 species
GGCGCACGGGUGAGUAACGCGUAGGUAAUCUACCCUUAUAACUGGGAUAACAUUGGGAAACUGGUGCUAAUACCGGAUACACUUCUUUACUACGGGGUAAAGGAGGAAAGGUGACCUCUUCAUGAAAGCUACCGUAUAGGGAUGAGCCUGCGUACCAUUAGCUAGUAGGCGGGGUAACGGCCCACCUAGGCAACGAUGGUUAGCGGGUCUGAGAGGAUGAUCCGCCACACUGGAACUGGAACACGGACCAG